UGCAGAGGCGCCCGAGGGAUGACCUGGUUCGCUUUUCCUGUUAGUUGGCAUUCAUGACAGGUGCCCAGCCCAAGCAGGGUCAUGUGCUAGGGAUAACACUUGCUGUCUGAAUGGUUUAGGGACGACCACCUGCUUGACAACCCCUAAACCCCGAACGUUACCCUGCGCUGCCCACCUGCGCAUAAGAACGCCAGCCUCCAUGAAUUUUCAUUGAAGUGGAAAUACUGGACUGGGCUGGCUCCACGUUCACACGCUCAAGAAUCGAGUCUGACAGGUCCACCUCGUCUCCCAACCUACGGGACUGGGCCCGUGUAAGCACACAAGCUGGGAACACAUGAGGGUAAGCCUGUACUAAAAUGUCGUCCGUAGGUUCCAGGGUAGGUGUGUCCACCACCUCUAACAUGGGUGUUACAUGGCCACCGGCAAUGUCAUUCCCAAGCAGAAAUGUGACUCCCUCCACCGGCAGAGUUGGUACCACGCCAACACGAAAACGUCCCGACACUAGUUUGGACUUUAACCAGACCCAAUGCAGUGGUACAGACAUGGGGGUUGCUCCGAGUCCUUGUAGAAGGACGUUUGACCCACAGUAUGACCCAUGGGACCAGGGCAGGCUGUCUGCUAGUACUAAAGACUGCGCUGCCCCCGUGUCACGCAGUAUGGUGACGCUCA